UGCUGCUGCCGCCGCGUCCGUUUCCCUAGCGACCGGGAUGCCAAGCCCUCCCGCCUCUGCUCUCCUUAUAUUGGGUACUGAACUCUAGCUCCGCCCCAUUAAGUUAAUAAGCAGGUCAAAUACAGAGGAAAAGAUACCCACCACAGGACACCGGCUGAAAGUCUACACAGGAACUUGUCAGAACCAGGACUUUACUCACCUCUCAGUGGACUCCAGGAUUUGUGGUGUGCCCUACCCCGGACAGUUGUGGCUGCAGGAGGUUUUUCCUCAAUGACCACUCCCAUCUCUGGGUUGUGACAAUGGGUUGAGGAUGAGCACCUCACUCAAGCAAAGCCAACCACAGCUGCUGAACUCCGGCCUUGGUGCUCCUCCUAUACACGACAUUAAGAUGCACGUGUUUUCUACUGAGGCUGCUAACCAGGACCCUCCCUGAUAAUGGGGCCAGCAGAGAACAGAGAUGGAUUAGUGAUGCUAACAUCUGUCCACCAGGAUCCUGCCAUGCCUGAAGCCUGAUUACCUCCAGCCUCAGGGUCUCAUGGUGGAUCCUAGUUUGGCCUCAAAGUUCCUAGACUCCCACAUCAUCCUACCAAUUGCUAGAAAUAAAGGUGUGUAUCACCAUCCCAAAUCCUCUGUGAUCUUCAAAGGCAUCUCUAAGGACAGUUUUCUGGAAAUCACCCUAUGAAAUUCAGACGGAAAUCACAGUGACUGCUUCAACCUUGGUUUGCUCGAUGGUCCUCAAACUUGAGCAAGCACCCAACUCCCCAGGACUCCACACAGAUCACCGGGCUCCUAGGUGGGAAGUGAGUCCUGAUAAUUGUAUUUCUGACAAGUUCUUGAGUGUGAUGGCUAAUCCUCACAGCCAACUAGACUGUAUUUGGAAUCAUCCUAAAGACUGGUGAGACAUGCCUCUGGGUGUUACAAGGAGGAUGUGUCCAGAGAGCAUUAACUUACAGGAAAGACUCACCCUGAGUGAGGGUGGUUCCAUGCUGUGUAGGCUGAGCAUCUGGAGAGACUAGAUGGAGUGAAAGGAGAAAGCGAGCGGAGCUGCACUGCCCUCUCCUUCCUGGCCCACCAUGAUGUGCACAGAGCUUCUCUGUCAUGCUUCACCCACCAUGGAAGGAAUCUUCUAGACAAUGAGCUGAAUUAAACACUUCCUCUUUGAAGUUGUUUCUGUCAGGUGUCUGGUUAUAGCACAAAAAGAGCAGCCAAACACCAGGCAAAGCAGAUGAUACACUAUGCCUCAAUGACUAUAUCUUGUGAUUAUUCUGUUGGGACUAGUGACAGGUCAGUCUUCAGCUGGACCCAGAGACAAGUUCAGAAUGACAUAAAAGCCUCUGCACCAAUAAGAGAAGAAGGGCUGGUAAAAAAGAGAAGCCCCACGCAGGUGGACAAUCAGAAAAGAGGAGUCAAUGUCUCUUCUGUGUCAUGAUGAUGCACCGAGCUGGUGGACGGGUGAUAACAAAGAUAUGAGCAGGUAUCACCAAUUUCAUAGGAUGUCACUCAAACAACCAAUCCUCCCCUCCAUCCUGUAGAAACAGCUGUCAAUCUCUGCCUAUGUGUCAACUACCAGAGCCAAGGGACAAGGGAGCGUAGGCUGUCUCUGGGCCAACUGGAAUUACAGAGAAGCAAUUGUGAAUGUAUCAGGGCUGUAAAUGGAAGUAAGCAAGAACUUGGUGAUGUAUGCUGGCAUAGAAGCUCGAGAGUCCCCAUGUCACAGGACAGAAAAUCAUACAGUCCAAGCCAGGAGCAAGGUGACUCCAAGCUUCGGAGCAUGCAUUCCACCACCUGCUGAAUGCAACAGGGUGGAAGAGCAUUGAGAUGACAUCUCGACCUCAGGUGCUACCACCCGAGCCCUCCUCUGACAGCUCUCUACAAAGCACUGGAGUUUGGUUCCACCUCAGUCUCUCUCCAGGUUGUCUUGACUUCCUGUCAGAAUUCCAUGGCCUUCCCAAAUCUCUUUAGGAAGCACAAGUCAGAGGCAGUACAAAGGAGAAACUAUCACCAGGCAGAGGGGACAUUAAAGCAGAGAGGUCCUAGAGUGGGCUUCUGGACCUGAGCCGUGCUGUUGGCUCUGAAAAGAAAAGACUAGAAGGAUGUGUUCCUACAAAGGAGAGUUGUGGCAAGAAACAGAAGGUGAAAAUGGGAUAGUAUCCAAAUGGUGAUAUCUAUGAGACUCAAUAAAAUUCUGCAUCUGUGAAACUGCAUCAGCAGCCAUGAGACAGAAACAAGCCAAUGCAGACUGGUGGUGGCCUGCUGCAUCCCUGGACCGCAGACUGGAUGGAGAGGGAAAUUGGUGAUGGAGCAUCCUAGGAGAGAUUCGUGCUGCACGCUAAGCGAGAAGGACAAAGAGACAAACUCUGGUAGGACACCGCAGACACUCUAGGACUCGAAAUCCAUUUCAAAUAAGACUCCCUGAGGAGGGACAGAAGGGACAGUUCAGAAGCAAUAAUUAAAAGUUAAUUGUUUGCUGUUUUCCUGAGCAGAUGGAAGACUUCAGUCUUUAAAUCCAGAGAAAGAAUCAAGUCUUCAACUAUCUAUUAGAAGGUAUCAAUAUCUAAAUAUAGUCUGAUGGAAUGCCAUUUAAAAUUUAAGGAAAAGAAAGUUCAAAACAACCUCCUAAAACAUGAAAUCUAUAGAAAGUGAAGUCAUCCUCUCAAUAAUGGUGGGGAGACUGACAAGAUGGCUCAGUAGUUUAAGGGCAUUUACGGAGGAGCAGGGUUUGGCUCCCAGCACUCACAAGCACCUGCACCUUCAGCUCCAGGGGAUCCUACACCCUCCUCUGGCCUCCACAGACACCUGUACUCACAUACACAUAUAAACACAUACAUACAAUUUUUGUUUUUAAAAAUUAUUCAGGACUCACUCCUUUGUUCUUGGGACAACAUACUGGCAGAGGCCCAUGUUCACCUAGAACUCAACUGACACUUCAUUUCAAACCCAUCUAAGCCAAAGGGACAUAAAAAUGGUCCCCAUUUCCUUUGAGGAAGUUAAAUGUGUUAAUAUACAUAGUCCAUAUUACACAGCCUUUAGUGUUAGGCCUUUUUAAGAAUUUGGUAAUAUUUUGGAAUAAAGACCUUUUGGCUUCCUUUGCCCACUUCAAAAUUCACUGGAAAUAAUGAAAGGAAGAGGAAGUAAUAAAAUUAGUCAAAAACAUGCAGCUUUUUUUUUUAUUAAAUAUAGAUGGAGCAGUUGGAAAAAUAUCCCACAGAUAAAAGCACAUAUAAAGAUACAUAGAGAAAUCAAUUCAAAGUUGACUAAGAACCUAAAUAUACAACAUCAAUCCUAAAAAUUGUUAGGAGCAAAUAUAGGGUAAUGUAUAUAGGAUUAUAAACUAGAAAAGAAAUUAUAGAAAAAACUUUAAUCAUGAUACACCAAAAGCAAUCAUAAAACUAUAUAUUCAAGACUAGUAAAUACAUGCGUAUUAAUAUCAAGAUAACAUAAAUAUCUUCAAAGCAAUAAAAGAGAAAACAAUCCAAAUUGGAAAAACCAAAUAAAAAAUGAAUAGGCAACUUACAGAGGUGAAAACCCAAUGAGCCAAUACACAUAAAGUAGUUUUCAGUCCCGCAAGUAAUCAGGAAAAUUCAAAUUAAAACUCUAAUGAAGGAGCAUUUCACACCCAGUAGACUGGUAAACAUAUAAAUGCCCAAGACUUCUGACUUGAGACCUAAUGGAAGGAUAAUCAGUAAAAUUGUCUUGAGAAGACCUGUGGCAGCGGCUGAUAGAGUUGAGUAUGGCUACUAUAGAAUCAGUGACUUUUUGUAGUUGUCCACCCUAGACCAACCUUCAUGAGCUUAUGAGAGGCUAAGCAUAAGUGAGUUCAGUGCAAGAGUGUUUGUAAUUGAGACAAACAGGGGUUCUACAAUCCUACCCAGAAAAAAAAGUGAUAAAUCAUGGUGUAGUCUUCAAAUGUAAUUCUGCAACAGUGCAAAGUGAAAUGUAAUGAGGGGAAGUGAACUGACACUUUAAAUGUCAACAUGGAUGAUCUCAGCUAUAAUGCUGAGCACACAAAGCAAACUGAAGAAAAACAGGGCGGCAGGAUCGAGAAGGAGUUUUGAAAUAUGCAAUAUAAUGUUUGAUAUUGUUCGAGGACAUGGGCAUGCAUAAUGUUAUACAAACAUGAAGACAUUCAACACAAUUUUCAAUAUAUAUUUCAAGGUAACAGUUACUUCUGCGGUAAGAAUGUGAAAGUAGCUGAGAAAGUUGGGAGGAGCUGAUCCUGUGCUCUGUUUCUUACACCGGGAAGCUGGAGAUGUGUUUGACCAUUAAAUGAUUCUGUUUUGUUUAUUUAUUUGUUCAUUUGGUUGAGAUAGGGUCAUCUCCCAGGAUGACCAAAAUUUGGGAUCUUCCUGUUUCAGCCCCCCCCCCAAUGUAGAACUGAAGAUUAUGCUACUAUGUCCAGCUAGAUGGUUCUUUUCUCCAGUUAUCUUCGUGGUGUAUGUUUAUGUUUAGUUGUUUGAGGACAUAACUGCUCCAAGGUAUGGUUGAGGUUUUUUUGUAGGUAUAAGGGAGAGUAUAGCCAGGCACAUCUGGAAGAGUCCAGAGCAGAGAGAGAAAGCAGUACACUGAGCAUGGCCUGGACUGGGCCAUGAGAGCAAAGAGGAGGGAGGAGAGUGGAAGAGGAAGAGACAACCAGGAGAGAGGGGAUCAUAAGAGGAAUAUAAAAAGAGUGGAUAGCCAAAAUAGCAGGGUUAUAUGGAAUGGAGAAGGUGGGGGAGGGAAGCCCAUUAGCUAGAGAAAUUUCGGGUACAGGGCGGGAUGAGAAGCCCUGAGAAGAACCAGGACGCCAGCAUGAACUCUGUAACAGGUCCUUGCGAUUCUGAGUAAGCCUGGAAGCCAGCAUCAACUUCUGUGGACUAAUAGAUACCACAGACAGCCAUUUGUCCAGGGUUUCUUUUGAACCUGACACCCUGUAAAUAAUUUCUUAUUUUAUUUGCUGAUAGAUGUAAUAAGAUUAUAGGUACUGUGUAGAUGAAUGGAUAGAUACAUAAUAGAUAAAAGGGACAGAGACAGGUGUUGGCUGAAUAGACAGUUUGAUGGUAGAUAGAAUUAUUAGUUUGCUUGGUUAAACUAUUCUUAGUCGAGAAUUUCAUACGUUGUCAAUUUUUUUUUCAAGAACAAAGAUAACAGAGAGUCUCCAGUUUUAAGACUACCCAUAAGCACCUGCUGGGAAAUAAUCUGCCAACAAAAGGCAAGCCACAGGAUUUCUGAAACUGUAGCUGUGUGUGUUUCUAAUCUUCAACCAGCCUUGGAAUCCUAAAAUUCCCUAAGGAAAGACUGGUAAAGCAGACUGCACAGUUUUAAACAUUUGCAGAAUUAUCCUUAUGGACAGCAGUAGGGCUAAAGGGCGCUGAGCCACCCUGGUGAAGCUGGUGAACAAACAGCAAAGAAAGUGAGGAUGGAAUAAACCAGAGAGCAGCCACAGACACAGAGUGAGAGCUCCAGCUUUGGAGGCUGCUUGCAAUGCAGAGCAUGCGCUUAGAGCUCCCAUGGAACGGAGCUCUCAGGAGCCUGCGAGACAGCUGGAAGGACACCGAAGGCCAGAGUCCCAGACACACACACAAACCUGAAACUCCUCUGUGUAAAAAUAUGCCCAAGACCACAGAGGGAGCACAUAUAAAACCCCAGCAGGAGACUGUACUGCCCAGGAUAAAGGGCCAGCCCUGGCUUACACACAGCUGAAGCAUAUCACUGACACACCAAGUGCAAAUGUGUACAUCAACUAGAAACAGACAAUUGCCCCCACUUGCUGCUGACCCCACAUGAGAAAGCAAGCUAAAUCAUUUUAAAGGCCAAUGGACAUAUAAAACUAGCUAACCUUAACUCUUAAUUAAGCAAAUGUAAAUAAAAAUAUGACACAUUUUUUGUUUUUGUUUUUGUUUUUUUUUAUUUUGGUUUCUGUUUUGUUUUGACUUGUUUUGGAGACAAGGUCUCUCUACAUAGCCCUGGCUGUCCUGGAACUCGAUAUAUAGACCAGGCUGGCCUUGAACUCACAGAGAUCUGCUGGCCUCUGUCUCCCAAAUGCUGGGAUUAAAGAUGUGCACCACCAGGCUCAGCCUUAUAAUGUACCUUUAAAAGAAAACUAAACAAUUUCACUAAACCUAAGAAUUCCAUGACACGAGAUGUCAAGGGAGUUACUUCAUAGAACAAUACCUACUCGGCUUGUCACCCAGCUGCUGGGAAUUUUUCCUACUUACUGGCUUUCCAAUUUUUCCACAAGUUGGAACCAGCAUAAACAGCACAGGGUUGACUGCAGAAUUUUUGCCAGUGAAUAACAACUAUGAAAAGACUGAGGCAGAGCAGUAUGUACCAAUGGCAAAGAUUUCCAAGGCACAGGGAAAAGUGAACGAGGAGGAGAAGGAAGAGGAAGAAGGUGAAGAGGAGGAAGAAGUGGGAGAGACUGCCACAGUGAGGCGCAAAACAAAGUCUCAAUAUGGCCCCUUUUAUAUAGAGAAUAAUUAGAAGUUAUACAAUGAGAAUAUCAGCAGGCCCAUUGCAAGGAAGAUGUUUUAUGCAAGCAACAUAUUUUUCUGGUAAUAAACUUGCUUACAACAUUCAUUCCUUUGGGAGAGGGCCUGGGAUGAAAGGAAGGAGAUGCUUAACUUUGAUUUUUUACUAACUUACUGUUUGAAUUUUUAAACCCGUGCAUGUUCUCUGCUUACUUUUCACAAUAUUUAUAGAGCAUAUGAGAACCAGGAAGAGGGGUUAGGCUCUGUAUUUUCCCCUCUUCUUUAACAAUAAAAAAUAAAAAUCCCCAAUCCAAGGCAUUCUAUAAACAGAAGGUAGCCCAGGAAGCCAGCCACUUUUCUGUGGGUAAAUGACAGACACUGACGCCCACCUCAGAGGAAGCUGGUGGGGACUGAACGCAGUGAUGCGUAUCAAGGACUUCCGCAGAUGCCCCACACUAAUAAUCCCUCCAGAAAUGGUCUUGGCUCUUGUAUUAAGCCCACUCCUCUCCCUUUUCCAUGUAGGGAGCUUCACACUGACCUUGAACCAGAAAGAGGUCCAGUCACAAAGAGAUAGAGAGCCCCGGCUUUGGCAUCCAGCCUGAGGGCUCCCCCUCCCCCUCCCCCUGCCAGUGGACCUCUGGAGUUCCUCCAUUUCCCAUGAGCCUCAGCCUAGCUCUAUAAGGGAGAGGCUAGAAACCAAGAGACUGAGCUUCCUCAGGUAGUCACUUUCUGAUGAGCAAACCAGGGGAAUUCCAAUCUGGUUCUAACAAGGUAAACUGAAGGAAGAUUGUUCUAUUUGCCUGUGGAUUAUUUCUAGCUUAAAAAUCUCUAACAGGGAACUAUGUGAAAUGCUCUAUUUAUCUCAUGUGACAAUUCUGCUUCAUGCUCACACUAACCUAUGGUGACCUUGUACUCCAGCACCCACAAAGAAGCACCUCUACUGUGAAAAACCCCCAUCCAAGGUCUUCCUUCUGCCUAGGCUGUAUGUAACCUUGGGAGAUGACAAGGAGCAUGACCAGACACCUGUCCCUGUACCUCCAUGAAGGUGAGGUAUCCACAGCUGUGAGGACUCUGAAUAAACCCUCGACUGCAGGACACACUCAUGGACAGAGAAGGAAGUAUACAAGGCCAGAGCAGUAAGCAGGGAGUAGUCUCAAGGUCACAGAAAGUCUUGGGUUCAAUCUUAUCAGGAUGGAACCCUUCAUCCUAUAGUGCAGUCCUGGGAAGAUCUCAUCAGAUAUGGUGGGGGAGGGGCCAAGGUUCUAAUACCCAGCUUGAUAACCACCCAACAAGGGAUCAUCCUCCAGAAAGAAACUCACAUAUAUCAGCUCAAAUAAAUGCUUCCUAGUCACCAGUUUUAUCAGUAAAGAUACAAAACCCAAAUAAACAAAAACAUAAAUAUGCUUUUAAUAAGCAUCUCAAGCUGUGUCAAAAGACAAAGACAGAGCAGAGCAUGGUCAAGAGCAAAUUCUAGGUCAAUUUUAUCCACUGUGACAGGAGAUUUUA